UACGUAGGCAGCGAGCGUUGUUCGGAGUUACUGGGCGUAAAGGGUGUGUAGGCGGUUGCUUAAGUUUGGUGUGAAAUCUCCCGGCUCAACCGGGAGGGUGCGCCGAAUACUGAGUGACUAGAGUGCGGGAGAGGAAAGUGGAAUUCCUGGUGUAGCGGUGAAAUGCGUAGAUAUCAGGAGGAACACCGGUGGUGUAGACGGCUUUCUGGACCGUAACUGACGCUGAGACACGAAAGCGUGGGGAGCGAACAGG
rnacentral:rRNA from 1 species